rnacentral:rRNA from 1 species
CCGUAGGUGGUACACGACCAAGAGCUGGGCAAGACCGGUGCCAGCCGCCGCGGUAAUACCGGCAGCUCGAGUGAUGGCCGAUUUUAUUGGGCCUAAAGCGUCCGUAGCUGGCCCUGCAAGUCCGUCGGGAAAUCCACUCGCCUAACGAGUGGGCGUCCGGCGGAAACUACAGGGCUUGGGACCGGAAGACUUGAGGGGUACGUCUGGGGUAGGAGUGAAAUCCUGUAAUCCUGGACGGACCGCCGAUGGCGAAAGCACCUCAAGACGACGGAUCCGACAGUGAGGGACGAAAGCUAGGGUCUCGAACCGGAUUAGAUACCCGGGUAGUCCUAGCCGUAAACGAUGUUCGCUAGAUGUGGCACAGGCUACGUGCCUGUGCUGUGUCGUAGGGAAGCCGAGAAGCGAACCGCCUGGAAGA